rnacentral:rRNA from 1 species
GGUCAAGUGAAGAAGCGCAUACGGUGGAUGCCUUGGCAGUCAGAGGCGAUGAAAGACGUGGUAGCCUGCGAAAAGCUUCGGGGAGUCGGCAAACAGACUUUGAUCCGGAGAUGUCUGAAUGGGGGAACCCAGCCAUCAUAAGAUGGUUACCUUACACUGAAUACAUAGGUGUAUGGAGCGAACCAGGGGAACUGAAACAUCUAAGUACCCUGAGGAAAAGAAAUCAACCGAGAUUCCCUUAGUAGUGGCGAGCGAACGGGGACUAGCCCUUAAGUGGCUUUGAGAUUAGCGGAACGCUCUGGAAAGUGCGGCCAUAGUGGGUGAUAGCCCUGUACGCGAAAAUCUCUUAGUCAUGAAAUCGAGUAGGACGGAGCACGAGAAACUUUGUCUGAAUAUGGGGGGACCAUCCUCCAAGGCUAAAUACUACUGACUGACCGAUAGUGAACUAGUACCGUGAGGGAAAGGCGAAAAGAACCCCGGAGAGGGGAGUGAAAUAGAUCCUGAAACCGUAUGCGUACAAGCAGUGGGAGCCCACGUUGUUGGGUGACUGCGUACCUUUUGUAUAAUGGGUCAGCGACUUAUUUUCAGUGGCGAGCUUAACCGAAUAGGGGAGGCGUAGCGAAAGCGAGUCUUAAUAGGGCGUCUAGUCGCUGGGAAUAGACCCGAAACCGGGCGAUCUAUCCAUGGGCAGGUUGAAGGUUGGGUAACACUAACUGGAGGACCGAACCGACUACCGUUGAAAAGUUAGCGGAUGACCUGUGGAUCGGAGUGAAAGGCUAAUCAAGCUCGGAGAUAGCUGGUUCUCCUCGAAAGCUAUUUAGGUAGCGCCUCAUGUAUCACUGUAGGGGGUAGAGCACUGUUUCGGCUAGGGGGUCAUCCCGACUUACCAAACCGAUGCAAACUCCGAAUACCUACAAGUGCCGAGCAUGGGAGACACACGGCGGGUGCUAACGUCCGUCGUGAAAAGGGAAACAACCCAGACCGUCAGCUAAGGUCCCAAAGUUAUGGUUAAGUGGGAAACGAUGUGGGAAGGCUUAGACAGCUAGGAGGUUGGCUUAGAAGCAGCCACCCUUUAAAGAAAGCGUAAUAGCUCACUAGUCGAGUCGGCCUGCGCGGAAGAUGUAACGGGGCUCAAACCAUACACCGAAGCUACGGGUAUCACGUAAGUGAUGCGGUAGAGGAGCGUUCUGUAAGCCUGUGAAGGUGAGUUGAGAAGCUUGCUGGAGGUAUCAGAAGUGCGAAUGCUGACAUGAGUAACGACAAUGGGUGUGAAAAACACCCACGCCGAAAGACCAAGGUUUCCUGCGCAACGUUAAUCGACGCAGGGUUAGUCGGUCCCUAAGGCGAGGCUGAAAAGCGUAGUCGAUGGAAAACAGGUUAAUAUUCCUGUACUUCUGGUUAUUGCGAUGGAGGGACGGAGAAGGCUAGGCCAGCUUGGCGUUGGUUGUCCAAGUUUAAGGUGGUAGGCUGGAAUCUUAGGUAAAUCCGGGAUUCUAAGGCCGAGAGCUGAUGACGAGUCGUCUUUUAGACGACGAAGUGGUUGAUGCCAUGCUUCCAAGAAAAGCUUCUAAGCUUCAGGUAACCAGGAACCGUACCCCAAACCGACACAGGUGGUUGGGUAGAGAAUACCAAGGCGCUUGAGAGAACUCGGGUGAAGGAACUAGGCAAAAUGGCACCGUAACUUCGGGAGAAGGUGCGCCGGUGAGGGUGAAGGACUUGCUCCGUAAGCUCAUGCCGGUCGAAGAUACCAGGCCGCUGCGACUGUUUAUUAAAAACACAGCACUCUGCAAACACGAAAGUGGACGUAUAGGGUGUGACGCCUGCCCGGUGCCGGAAGGUUAAUUGAUGGGGUUAGCUAACGCGAAGCUCUUGAUCGAAGCCCCGGUAAACGGCGGCCGUAACUAUAACGGUCCUAAGGUAGCGAAAUUCCUUGUCGGGUAAGUUCCGACCUGCACGAAUGGCGUAACGAUGGCGGCGCUGUCUCCACCCGAGACUCAGUGAAAUUGAAAUCGCUGUGAAGAUGCAGUGUAUCCGCGGCUAGACGGAAAGACCCCGUGAACCUUUACUAUAGCUUUGCACUGGACUUUGAAUUUGCUUGUGUAGGAUAGGUGGGAGGCUUUGAAGCGUGGACGCCAGUCUGCGUGGAGCCAACCUUGAAAUACCACCCUGGCAACUUUGAGGUUCUAACUCAGGUCCGUUAUCCGGAUCGAGGACAGUGUAUGGUGGGUAGUUUGACUGGGGCGGUCUCCUCCUAAAGAGUAACGGAGGAGUACGAAGGUGCGCUCAGACCGGUCGGAAAUCGGUCGUAGAGUAUAAAGGCAAAAGCGCGCUUGACUGCGAGACAGACACGUCGAGCAGGUACGAAAGUAGGUCUUAGUGAUCCGGUGGUUCUGUAUGGAAGGGCCAUCGCUCAACGGAUAAAAGGUACUCCGGGGAUAACAGGCUGAUACCGCCCAAGAGUUCAUAUCGACGGCGGUGUUUGGCACCUCGAUGUCGGCUCAUCACAUCCUGGGGCUGAAGCCGGUCCCAAGGGUAUGGCUGUUCGCCAUUUAAAGUGGUACGCGAGCUGGGUUUAGAACGUCGUGAGACAGUUCGGUCCCUAUCUGCCGUGGACGUUUGAGAUUUGAGAGGGGCUGCUCCUAGUACGAGAGGACCGGAGUGGACGAACCUCUGGUGUUCCGGUUGUCACGCCAGUGGCAUUGCCGGGUAGCUAUGUUCGGAAUAGAUAACCGCUGAAAGCAUCUAAGCGGGAAACUAGCCUCAAGAUGAGAUCUCACUGGAACCUUGAGUUCCCUGAAGGGCCGUCGAAGACUACGACGUUGAUAGGUUGGGUGUGUAAGCGCUGUGAGGCGUUGAGCUAACCAAUACUAAUUGCCCGUGAGGCUUGACCAU